GCACCAGCAAAAUCUGGUGCCGGGAUUGGCGUCCCGGUAAUUCUGAAGGCGACACAUGACGCGCCGAGCGUCUUUUUU
rnacentral:sRNA from 1 species